rnacentral:rRNA from 1 species
CCUACGGGUGGCAGCAGUGGGGAAUAUUGCGCAAUGGGGGAAACCCUGACGCAGCAACGCCGCGUGAGUGAGGAAGUAUCUCGGUAUGUAAAGCUCUAUCAGCGGGGAAGAAGGAAGACGGUACCCGACUAAGAAGCCCCGGCUAACUACGUGCCAGCAGCCGCGGUAAUACGUAGGGGGCGAGCGUUAUCCGGAUUUACUGGGUGUAAAGGGAGCGUAGACGGAUCGUUAAGUCAGUGGUCAAAUUGAGGGGCUCAACCCCUUCCCGCCAUUGAAACUGGCGUUCUUGAGUGGAAGAGAAGUAUGCGGAAUGCGUGGUGUAGCGGUGAAAUGCAUAGAUAUCACGCAGAACCCCGAUUGCGAAGGCAGCAUGCCGGCUUCCGACUGACGCUGAAGCACGAAAGCGUGGGGAUCGAACAGGAUUAGAUACCCGGGUAGUC